rnacentral:lncRNA from 1 species
UUUUAGACACUUAAAAAGUUUUUAUAUUAAAUAGGAUACUAUUGGAUAAUUUAUAUACGUACUAUAGCAACUUAGAACUAGACUGGAAUACUAUUAAUAGCACCAAACUAUUAAUGCUAUUAGUUUUUUAGUCUUUGGAUUGAGAAAUGUAUAGUUAAGAAAUAUAUGGUUAGGACGAUAUGGGCCCCCUAGAAUUGAGUAAAUGAUUGAUUGAAUAGUAUAAUCUAAUAGAUAAAAAUAAUUAAAAAAUUAAUUUAAUGGUGAAAAGCUUAAUAGUAUCAAAUUCUUGGUGCUAUCGAUAGUAUUCUAGCCGGUAUAAAGGUUUUUUUUAUAUAAUUGGAAGAGAAGAGUUUAAUUCUUUAAAAAAUUCAUUAGCAUUCAUA